ACACAUGCAAGUCGCACGAGAACGCUUCAGCUUGCUGAAGUUAGUAAAGUGGCGCACGGGUGAGUAACGCGUGGGUAAUCUCCCCCCGAAUUGGGGAUAACAUCGCGAAAGCGAUGCUAAUACCGGAUAAUAUCUUAAAAACCUCGGUUUUAAAGAUCAAAGGUGGCCUCUACAUGUAAGCUUCUGUUUGGGGAUGAGCCCGCGUACCAUUAGCUUGUUGGUAGGGUAAUGGCCUACCAAGGCUGCGAUGGUUAGCUGGUCUGAGAGGAUGAUCAGCCACACUGGAACUGACACACGGUCCAGACACCAACGGGAGGCAGCAGUGGGGAAUUUUGCGCAAUGGG
rnacentral:rRNA from 1 species